rnacentral:tRNA from 1 species
CAGCAAGUAGUUUAUUAAAACGUUAAUUUUGGGGAUUAAAGAUAAGUGGUUUGUACUUUUUGCUGA